CUGGAUAGAAACUGCAGCAGUUAGAGCGAACCCGAGCAUUAGACAGGAGAUAUACGUUCCUUCCCCCUCCCCCCUCUCAACCCUGUCGUGGAGGGCCUAUUAACUACGCCGGCUGUAUCUUCUCCUGACCAGCAGUGUGACCCGUCCCGGAGUUGUCCCCUGCUGUUCCGCGCGUUUUCUGCAGUUACGUGUUCAACGGGAGAGCGCCCAUACAACAAGGUUACGUCAUAGUGAUUUAUAUUCUCAACCCACUCUGCUCAUCUACAACUGCAAAUAUAUUCCCAGAUUUAAGAUGGAUUAAUCUGGGAGAACUGUGAAGACUGAAACCCAACAUAUCCAAGAAGACUGAAAAGUUUGUAUGUUGUCCGACAUGCAGGACAGGGACGAACACAAGAGCGGUGACGAGGGGAGUAAAGAUGAGAAUGCAGUUAACCACGAGAUCGCGACACUUUUGCUCAACCUUGCUUCCAGAACUCACUCCUCAGAGACAUUUAAAAAGCAGUCUUCUAAACCUGAUCCUGACGUAGCCAUGGAUCUAUCAAACUAUGCAAAAUCAAACUCUCUACCGAGCCCAGCACAGCUUGGUAGUCCUAACACAAGCUUCCAUAGCACGGUGCCAACCUCAAGUAACCCGUACUCCCUGUUUCCAACUUCCAAUGGUUUAAACACCAUCCCCUCGUCCUACCUCCUCCAGAACUUGUUGAUCGGUAAGAUGCAGCAGCAGUUGACCUGCUCUACGGAUCGUAUCCCUGCAAAUAUCAGUGAGUCUGUAAAGUUGGGGAUGAGUCAGAUGAGCGGGAAACCUGCCUGUAAACCAGGAACUGGUCCACACGCUAAUAUUCCUCUUCUCUCUGGACAAAUUGUGGCGCAGCUCAACGCUCUUCUCUUCUCCAUACAUGGGCUUACAGAUAAGAAUAUAGAAAGUAAGGUUGAGGUUCAGUUAGCGGCCAUAUAUACCAGACUACAGGAGAUUGUAACUCUGGUUCAGAUUACUAAGACCAAGGAUGAGAAACCAUCUCUUGGAUUGACUGAGAUUAAAGAUGAACCGAAGGUAUCUCGACAGGACGAGUUUCCGCAGAGCUCGGUGAUAAGCGUAGGAAAGACGGGGAAGAUCUCAAGUUCCAUAUCUCCAGUAGAGAAUAUUAAAUCAGAGGUUGGUUCUACUCCUCAGCUCCGGGUACUACCCUACUGCAAGGAAUACGAACCUAGUUCUAUCAUAUCCCGAAAACCUGGCAGGGACGGAGCUUACACUGAGACCAGUCCCCCUGAGAAGAGGAUGAAAAUGAGUCCUGAUAAUUGUACCAGCUCCAGUCCUCCAGGUUCUACGCGGAAGACGAGCAAGGGAGGGAAAGGUAUCCGGAACCGAGUAUUCUGUGGGGAUUGCCCAGGAUGCCUGAAGAAUGAUGACUGCGGUCAAUGUCGGUAUUGCAAGGAUAAAACCAAGUUUGGCGGACAAAACCGACUCCGUCAGAAAUGUUUACACCGCCGCUGUCAGAUGGACACUCACCGACGGUCAUCUCAGCAAAAUUCGGCGGUUGGCGGUGUUGAACCGACGAUAUACAGCGGAGUAGAAUUAGCUAGACUGACCAGCCAUAAUGAUGAUGAGAGACAAGCACAGUUCUCGUCUAUGCUAGGAUCGAGUCCUGGAAGUGUUAGCAGUCCUGAACCAGAAGGAAGUCAGAACAGUCACCAAUCAAGGAUAGAUAAGUGGAAAGCAAAGCACCAAGCCAUGCUCAAACUAGCAGCUGAGAGCAAACACAGAGGUGAGCAAACCUCUCCUUCUCCCCCCUUGGAGCAGAGCAAGCUCGUGAUCACGCUCUCGGAGAAGGACGAGGAGAAGAUGAAGGAGAAUUCUAGGUUUCCAGGUCGGAGUCUAAACACGGCUCUAGUGGUCUAGCUGGGACCCUGAUAUCCCUGGAUUCACCAACCUACAUUCCUUUUAUAUAUAUUAGAAUAUAUAUAGAAAUCAUCAAAUAGCCCUUUACCACAAUGCAGCCCCGGGAUUAGCUGAAUAUUCAGCUUGAUCCUGUUUACAACUGAAAUUAAGGGAUAACGUGUCUCAUCCUAAAACCUAGAAAAGAAGGACAUCUUGUUUGUUUUUGUUUUGUCUACUGGACCACAUUUAGUUUUCAUUAAUUUGAAGAUGUGGCAAACUUUUGAGCUUUAUUUAUCUAUUUUAGUGACCUAUAAUCUAAAUCAACCUAUGCAGAAGCUUAAAUUGGGCAUUUGAAAGCAACUAGCAACCUUAAUAUAGAAGCCAUAAACUUAAUAUUUUGUCAAAUUAUAAAUAGUUAUUCGAAUGAUUAAAAACAUUUUACUUGAAGUUAUUAAUAUAAUAUCAUAUUUCUAAGGCAUAAAUAAUGUUUCAAAAAAGUGAAACAGAAAAAGUAUUAUCAUGUCACAACCCUUACAAACAGAAAGUAUGCAAAAAAAGCUUCCAAAUUUCAGUUUAUUUACAGAAAAAGACUUAAUACGUCUCAAAAAUGGAAAUUUAUUUACGUGAUAUGGUUUAAAAUAACUUUUUGGAUCUAGUUCAUGUUUCCAUAUUGAAAUUGAUUUUAACUUAACUCACGUAACAUCAAUGAUACCUUCCAUAUUGACAUAAACUGAUUCAAACUGAUUUUGAUUUACAUAAACUGAUUCAAACUGAUUUUGAUUGACAUAAACUGAUUCAAACUGAUUUUGAUUGACAUAAACUGAUUCAAACUGAUUUUGAUUGACAUAAACUGAUUCAAACUGAUUUUGAUUGACAAACUGAUUCAAACUUAUUUUGAUUGACAUGAACAAAUUUUAACUGACAAAAUCUGAAAAAUUACAUUAAGUGAUUCAAAUGGACAGGAACUGUUUAUAACUGACAUGAACGAAUUAAACUGAUUUGAAUUGACAUACUCUGAUUUAAACUGUUCUCAAUUAAUGUAAAGUAAAAUUAAAUUUAGACUGAACGAGAAACGUAACAAGAACUAUAAAACGACUAAUUAAUAGGCUUACAGAAAUAACUUGUACAUAAAUAACUAAAUAUAUAAAUGACUUAAUUACGAUUGAAAUUGAACUGAUCCAAAUAGUUAAGUUCAUUUCACUGUUUUUUUUCAAGUGUUUCGUGGCAUUAUAUACACCUGAAAUGUUUAUUAACAUAUCAAUUUUUAGAAAAGUGUUGUUCAUAGUUUAAUUGUUAUUACUUCAUUUGUUAACAUGUAUACAUAGUACGUUGUACAAUGUACACAAUAGCUUGGGAAUCCCAUAGGUCAGAAAAAAAGUCAUGAUUCACAAAACCAGUUUUAUUAUAAAUAUAUUUAUAUUAUUUUAGUUGAAGGAUAAGUAAAAAGUACUCUUCUCGUAUCAAUGCAACUGUUGACACUUAAGGUUUCCCAAGCUUGUGAAAAUUACUAAUAAUAUGGGCAUGCUAUUAUUAUUAUUAUUAUUAAUAUUAAUCUAUGAGAAGUUUAUAUAUUGAAUCUCAUGCGCUAAACUAACAUUGUUAUAUAUAUUCCUUCUUUUGGUCUGAUUUUCCAAACCCACAUAUCAUGCAUUCUAAUAUUUAAUUUCCGCCCUCUGUGAUUCAUUUGAAGAAUAUUAUUUCUAUGCAAUUUUUGUCAUUCCGUUGCAAGCGGGUUUGCCAUAGCUAUCGACUUAAUAAUAAUAUGCUUCGAUGGUAUUGUACCCCCUUCAUUGUUUGUAAGUUCCUUUAAAUGUAUUUGUUAAAAAGGGACAUUACCUUAAAUUGUUAUAUAAAUUACUGAGCUUCUUUAUUGUGGGUGUCCAGCCCAAAGUGUCCCUUAGGGUCAGGUAACCUGGUUAUUGAGUUUUUUCUUAACAAUUAUUAUUUCGUAUUUACUCAAUAUUUCACUUCAAUAAAUUUUCAUUGAAA
rnacentral:misc_RNA from 1 species